AUAAACUGUUCAGGAAGGACAGGCAGGGCAGAAAAGACAAGAAAAUGUUUCAAUCCUUGAAAAUUCUUAUGGGUUGGGAAAACCUGUUUUGAGCCAGCUUUAGCUGUAACAAAUACAUCCUCGGCUGAAGAGAUGUAGAAAAAGGACCACACUCACCAAAGGGAUACACAUAUAUUCCUGUGCACAGCCUGCAAACAACAAUUCAUUGUUGUCCAACAGUUAGUAAGGCCAGCUCCACCAGGAACAUCAGAAAAGCCACUGGAGAUAUGAGAAUCCUAAAACAUAAAGAACAGGGUUGGGAUUUUCGAAGCUGCCUGUGGGAUUUGGAUGAAUCUCCCUUACAAUUAACAGAAAAUC